CGGUUCGAGUCCGCUUACCUCCACUGAUCGACCUCCUUAAAUUACGAAAUCCAAGGAGAUUGGCUUUGUUGUUGUGACUUAGUUUUAGUUUUUCUGAAUAUUGAUCCUAGCUUCCUAUCAUUCCCUUCUUAAAUUUUUAGAAUGAGGUUGAUAAGACGCUGGGCUCUUUAAAACUUAAAAAAGUUUUAUUGAAACUUCAGCA
rnacentral:misc_RNA from 1 species